GGGUGUGUAGCUCAGGUGGUAGAGCACUUGACUUUUAAUCAAGUUGUCCGGGGUUCGAAUCCCCGCACGCUCA
rfam:Clostridiales bacterium 42_27 Ley3_66761_scaffold_11842, whole genome shotgun sequence.